GACGAACGCUGGCGGCGUGCUUAACACAUGCCAGUCGAACGGAAAGGCCCUGCUCUUGUGGGGCGCUCGAGUGCCGAACGGGUGAGUAACACGCGUGUAACCUGCCCUUGUCUUAGGGAUAACUCUUGGAAACUGGGGCUAUAAUCGGAUAGGAGCUCCUGCUGCACGGUGGGGGAUGGAAAGAUUCGGCGUUUGGGGAUCGACUCGCGGGUUAUCCGCUUGUUGGUGUGGUAGUGGCUUACCAAGGCUAUGACGGGUAGCCGGCCUGGGAGGGUGACCGGCCACAUUAGGACUGAGAUACGGACCAGACGGCUACGGGAGGCAGCGGUGGGGAAUAUUGCGCAAUGGGCGGAAGCCUGAUGCAGCAACGCCGCGUGCGGGAUGACGGCCUACGGGUUGUAAACCGCUUUCGACUGUGACGAAGCGUGAGUGACGGUAAUGGGUAAGGAAGCACCGGCUAACUACGUG
rnacentral:rRNA from 1 species